rnacentral:rRNA from 1 species
UACGGGGGGGGCAAGCGUUGUUCGGAAUUACUGGGCGUAAAGGGCGCGUAGGCGGCCUUCUAAGUCGAACGUGAAAUCCCCGGGCUCAACCCGGGAACUGCGUCCGAUACUGGCUGGCUUGAAUCCGGGAGAGGGAUGCGGAAUUCCAGGUGUAGCGGUGAAAUGCGUAGAUAUCUGGAGGAACACCGGUGGCGAAGGCGGCAUCCUGGACCGAUAUUGACGCUGAGGCGCGAAAGCCAGGGGAGCAAACGGG